ACUUGAGGAACCCCAGUACAUUUCAAGUUGGCCGCGGCUUGGGCUCCGCUCUGGGGAGGGGCAGCAGGUUUAUUCACUGGAUCUCUGAAUACCCAGGCCCCCUCCACCAUGGCCAGCCGGGGUGGGGGCCGGGGUCGUGGCCGGGGCCAGUUGACCUUCAACGUGGAGGCCGUGGGCAUUGGGAAAGGGGAUGCUUUGCCCCCACCCACCCUGCAGCCUUCUCCACUCUUCCCUAUUGGCGGCGUCUACCCCGGGAGCUAAAGAUCCGAGUGCGGAAGCUACAGAAGGAACGUGAGUGUAUCUGGAAAAAAGGAGGGAGAAGAGAGGUUUCCUUCAUCAGCCUGAGGGUGGAGGCUGCUGCUGGUCUCACCUUCCAUCCCAGUUCCUAUACCCAAUCUACCAAGUGUUGUUGCUAGAUGUCAUAGUGGCCACAUGAGGGCAGCAGAGUGACAUGUUCUUUGCAUGAGGAUGGGCUAUAAAGCUGGCAAAAUUUGCUCUCUGAAGGUUUACCUUUUGAUCCCUCCACCAGGGAUUACAAUUCUGCUCCCCAAGAGGCCCCCUAAGACCACAGAAGAUAAGGAGGAAACAAUACAGAAACUAGAGGUGAGGAGGAAGUGUGCAUAGAGACCACCUGAGCCCUGGAUCCAUUCCCUCUCUCUUGGCCCAUGUGUGCCUCAAUUUUUCCCUUCUGUGAACUGAACCUGAGUUUCUAUUCCUAUUCAUCCCCACAUGAGACCCUGGAGAAGAAGGAAGAAGAAGUAACUUCAGAGGAGGAUGAGGAGAAAGAAGAAGAAGAAGAGAAGGAAGAGGAGGAAGAAGAAGAGUAUGAUGAAGAAGAACACGAAGAGGUGAAGGGGACUCCUUCCACCUUAGUCCCCCUCCCUUUACCCUCUUUAUACUAGGGUUGCUCUCCUCAGAGGGUUGGCAUGCCAACAGAGAUAGUGCCCCCCAGGGUAGGGGCUUCUCUCUACUUCAUCUGCCCCCCUUCUACAAACUACAGCUGGAAGAGAUGUCUCAGGCCUGGAAUGGUGUGACUGAGAGGAAAGGGGUCUGGUACACAGGAAGGAAGGUGAAUGCCAAAUUGACUUUUACUUUUUUUUUUUUUUCCAUUUCAGGAAACUGAUUACAUCAUGUCAUAUUUUGACAAUGGAGAGGACUUUGGUGGUGACAGUGAUGACAAUAUGGACGAGGCUAUAUACUGAAGAAGGACUCUGGACCCUCGUGUCUUUCUUUAGGAUACAGAGAGUAACUGUACCUAUUAUUUGUUUCUUCAGACAAGCAAAUCAUUUGGUCAGAGUUCAUAUAAUCUGUCUGUUCCCUGGAGAUGGGAAUAGAGGAUGAUGACAGUUUAUUUUCUACACUUCCCCUCCUUCCACAUUUGUAUCACCUUUGCUAUCUUGGGGAAAGUGCAAAGGACAAACAUCUCAAUUGUAUGAAGGGAGAAAGGAGAAUUGAAAGAAGAACUGGGGUUGUUAGAGCUGAGAUGACUGUGCACAUACCCCUGCCCAAUUUAUAUAGCUCUUUGUGGAGAUAAUUAGGGGUGGGAGCAGUUUGAAGGAGUAAGCCUGGUUUUAUACUUUUAAAUAAAGUGUUUUUAUCUGUC
rnacentral:sRNA from 1 species